CUCUUGUAGCCUGGGGACAUUUUUGUGGGAUUUCUGAACAUGGCACUGUUUGUUUAUCUGCUACUGAUGUGUGCUUCCAUCAAGGUGUUCUUCGUCUCAGCACAUUCACAUUGUGACGUCUCUUUGGACAGGUGUCCAUCAGAGAUUAGCUACUAUCUUCAGAACAAUGAAAAUUGUGAUUUUAUUCUCAGUUUUUGUAACCCUGCUGGAAACAAACACAUUUUGACAUUUA